UAGGGAAUCUUCGGCAAUGGACGAAAGUCUGACCGAGCAACGCCGCGUGAGUGAAGAAGGUUUUCGGAUCGUAAAACUCUGUUGUUAGAGAAGAACAAGGACGUUAGUAACUGAACGUCCCCUGACGGUAUCUAACCAGAAAGCCACGCCUAACUACGUGCCAGCAGCCGCGGUAAUACGUAGGUGGCAAGCGUUGUCCGGAUUUAUUGGGCGUAAAGCUCGCGCAGGCGGUUUCUUAAGGCUGGUGUGAAAGCCCCCGGCUCAACCGGGGAGGGUCAUUGGAAACUGGGAGACUUGAGUGCAGAAGAGGGGAGUGAACUCCAUGUGUAGCGGUGAAAUGCGUAGAUAUGUGGAGGAACAACAGUGGCGAAGGCGGCUCUCUGGUCAGUAAAUGACGCUGAGGCUCGAAAGCGUGGGGAGCAAACAGG
rnacentral:rRNA from 1 species